rnacentral:lncRNA from 1 species
GUGUUUAUGGUAUUGAUAUUCUGAAUCAAUUUCUAAUGAAAUACAAACCCCAUUAUAUAGGGGAGAUACAAUCAAAUAAUAAGGAAACCAAAUAUACAAAAUAUGCACAAUCACAAUCUAUUCCUAAAAUUAUACGUUCUGGAAUAUUCUUCGGCUAAGACUCCCCCGCAGUUUGAACGUGGGAAGGUCCAACGCUCAAACUGGAACGAAAUGACUGAAAUAACUGCUUGGAGAGCCCCUUUGUGAAUAUAUCAGCAUACUGCAAGGCAGACGGAACAUGUAGAACGCGAAUGUGACCGAUGCGAACCUUCUCCCGUACAAAGUGAAUAUCAAUCUCUACAUGUUUGGUGCGCUGAUGCUGCACUGGAUUAUCUGAGAGAUACACGGCGGAAACAUUAUCACAAUACACGAUCGAGGCCCGGCGCAAAGGAGUAUGAAGCUCAAGCAAUAAAUUACGUAACCAAGUGGCUUUGGCAACCGCAUUAGCAACCCCGCGAUACUCAGCUUCAGCACUAGAACGCGAAACAAUGGGUUGCCUCUUUGAGGACCACGACAGUAAGUUAUCUCCCAAGAAAACACAAUAACUGCUCGUUGAGCGUCUAGAAUCCGGACAACCGCCCCAAUCGGCAUCUGAGUAGGCAACCAAGUCGUGAGACCGAGACCGACCAAUGCGAAUCCCGUAAUCAAGAGUACCCUGUAUAUACCGUAUGAUACGCUUCAUGAAGGCGAAAUGUGACUCGCGCGGAUCAUGCAUAAACAAACAAACCUGCUGGACUGCAUAUGAGAUAUCUGGACGAGUAAAUGUUAGGUACUGUAAGGCUCCCGCAAGGCUGUGAUAUAGUGUCGGAUCUAAAACAGGCGGUCCAUCAGACGCGCUAAGUUUGGAUGAGAGGUCCACAGGUGUGUUGCAGGGUUUACAAGCCGACAUGUUAGCUCGAGCAAGAAUCUCUUUAGCGUAUUGUUGCUGAGAUAGGAAAAGGCCCUGUGAAAACUGAUCAACUUUAAUUCCAAGAAAGUGAUGAAGCCGACCUAAAUCCGUCAUUGCAAACUCUCGAGACAGUGCACGGAUGAUAUCAUGAAGUAAUGUGUCAUUAGAAGCUGUCAACACAAUAUCAUCCACAUAAAGUAGUAAAUAGGCAACAUUAGCUGGAUCCCGCUUAAAAAUGAACAAAGAUUGAUCACAAACACUGCUGAUAAACCCCUGAGAUUUGAUGAAUGUGGCAAAGCGGGUAUACCACGCCCGAGGAGCCUGUUUAAGACCAUAUAGGGAUUUUUUGAGGCGACACACAAACUGAGGGCGCCGUUUGUCAAAAAAACCCGGGGGUUGAUGCAUGUAAACCGUCUCAUUAAGAUGCCCAUGUAAAAAUGCAUUUUUAACAUCAAGUUGAUGUAUUGGCCAAGACCUGGUGACCGCCAAGGAUAAAACUGUCCGGAUAGUAGCCGGUUUAACAACUGGACUGAAAGUGUCGUCACAAUCAAUUCCUACCGUCUGUGAAUUCCCGUUGACCACCAAUCGGGCUUGUGGAGGUAAUUCAGGUGGAGUGAAAGGAUAGAGGUCCCCGGUACUGUUGUGUCUUGAAAGAGUCCGUUUAGUGAAGAGAUCCUUCAAAGAAAAACCAAACGGGUCAAAUUCGAUAGACACAUUAUUAUCGCGAGUAAAACGUCGUACAGAAAUAAGGUUUCUAAUUAUGUGUGGGCUAUAAAGGACAUUAGGUAGAAUAUAGGUUCGGUUGGGUAGGGUGUGAAAACCAGUGCCCGUGCUUUUAAUUGGUAUACAAGUGCCAUUACCGACCAUUAUUGAACUGCGUACAGGACAAGAGUUGGGAAUAACAAUUUUACCUGGAUCGCGUGCCGAGUGAGAGCCUGCUCCAGUACCCAUAAUGUCAUUAUUCCACGAGGCGUUCGGGUUCAUCUGCAAAUUAUUAAACGGUUAAAAAGCUUAACCCAGUUGGAGUAGGUGACAUUCGUACCAUCUAAUGUACGGAUUUUGGCAUUGAUGUUGGUAACCGAAUAGGCUGGGUGAAGAGCAGUGGGUUUCGGGUUUGAGGAUUCAGGUUCAGUAUCGGAUUUAGGCAUGUUUGGCAGGAAACAAUGGGCGAACAGAUGCUCUAAAAAAGAACAGAUGCU